GCUCCAUAUUCUCCUUCUCAGGCAGUAUGUUGGGGUGGGAGGGAGAAAAGGACUCCUUUGGUUGUCCGUUUGUGCUACUUUAAAAUUGGACAUUCCUGUCUGCCGUUUCUGACUGAGAGCAGUAAGGGAUGUCUGUCCAUCCAGAAUUCGGGAUGUCCACCCAGAAUUGGGGACAGACAACCGAGACCCACUCUGCUUGCAACAUCCAGACCAGUUACUUUAUUUUGUCAAACACAGGAGAAAGGAUUAAAAAAAAAUAGUACUCUAAGCAACUAGUUUGGCAGAAUAAGCCCCCCUCCCCUCUCAACAACAACAAUAACAACAACAAAACAAACCAAAACAAAAAACUUGAGGAUGGAUGGACAAGGUGUGGCUUUCUUUAAAUAAUUCAAUUUGGAAUAGAGCUCACACAACAGCACGCAGGCCUUCAAAACACCUUCCCUGGCUUCCCAGGAGCCAGUAUUCCCCACAGACUCCCAAGGAGCAUUCUGUCAUACACGGUAUACAGGCACACAAUGGGUCCGUCCUCAGAGGAGGCCCUGCAUGUUGCCUCCCGAAAUGGUUUCUUUGCUGCAGGCCUGUUCAGGAGAUGUUUAUCAGAGAAGGGGUGGACAGGUCUGCGAUGGACGGGCCCCGUUCUGUCUCCAGUGGCCUUUUAUGGCUAGUGAUAGGUGCCAUCAGUGUCUUGCCUGAGAAAUGGCCAUGCUGCAGGCACCUCUGUCGGAGCAUCUUAUUGAUCUGUGCUCUGCCUCCUUCCAGAAGACAAGAGUAGUAAAAAAGUCAGAGGCUGCUGGCUCGAGCAGAGCGGCCGUGGCACCGUGGGCUGAAGCAGCUCUCUGGGGUGAAUACAAGUGUCAUCAUCCCUCCAGCUGCUCCAUCCAGCAUUACAGAGCCUCGCUCCAGGACGCAGUGUAGCCUGGGCUGCACAGUGACCAUCCAGCAAGAUGAAUGUGGCUUCUGAAUUUUUUUUCCCAUUGAGGCUGUAUGGCUGAGAUUCAUUUUCCCACCAUUGACCCAUUGGACCUCCAUAAAAUAGGACUGAAAGCAAUUAAUCUGGGGCAGAACGCCCCUAGAAUCUCAUUCAUAAAUAAUCCUUCUUGGCCCCCAGCACUGGAAUAUAAGUAGAGAUUUAUAAGCUCAAACCUGUAGGCCAAACUGCAGGAAGCAGGGUGUACCCAGCCUCUGGCUUUGCACAUGAGAUUAAAUGGUUAUGAUCAAUAUAUUGCCAUAAGCACCAGGGGACAUUUUUAUGGCGUUUACAUAAGACUUUAUAAUGUGGAAGAGACAGGAUCUGCCACCAGCCCCAAUCCGGGCAUAAAAUGUAUCUUAUAAAUAAAAAUACAAAGGCACUUUGGCAAAAGUUCUCCUGUAUAGCUGCUACAGCUGCGGAGAAAGUAGAGAGGAGGAUAGGAUAGGCUGAAAUCAGACUCAGAAUGUGCAAGAGUAUUGCCAGGGGCGGGGGCAAUGGCAUUGAUGAGUUAUAGCUGUGUGGCUAAGGGCUCUGGUAAGAGUCUGGGUGCUGAACAUGACCCCCCUACCUUUGAGCUACACGACCUUGGGUUACUCAAGUUCCCUCUCAUCAGUUUAUUGAUGAAAAUAAUAGUACCUGCCUUCAUAUGGUUGGUUGUCUUCCCCCCCCUUUUGGUGAUGCAGGGGGUUCAUAUCUAGGAUUUCAUGCAUGCAAGCUAGCAUUUCACUACUGAGUGACAACCCUAGCCCCACAUAAGCUUCCCUGAAGAAUUCAAUGAACUAAAGUUUAUAAAAUGUAUAGCUCAUCCCUGCAGCAUAUAACAGUUAGGAAAGAGGAGAAGAUGCUGAUGGGGGUGAUGAUGUCAGGGAUGAUGAUGAUAGCAAUGGUGAUGAUGAUGGAGAUGGUGAUGAUGGCAAAGUAUAGCUAAAUAUCCUACUCAUUAGCCUCUUACCUCUGUCAGGUAAGAAGCAGGCUCAGCUAGUGUGGUAGUUUGAAUGUCAUUGGCCCCCAUAAGCUCAUAGGAACUGGCACUAUUAGGAGGUGUGGCUUUGUUGGAGUGGGUGUGGCCUUGUUGGAGGAAGUGUGUCACUGUAGGGGUGGGCUUUGAGGUCUCCUAUGCUCAAGCUAUACCCAGUGUCACAGUUCACUUCCUGUUGCAUGUGGAUCAAAAUGUAGACCUCCUCAUCUUCUUCUCCAGCACCAUGUCUGCCUGCAUGGUGCCACGUCCCACCACGAUGACAAUAGACAAAACCUCUGAAAUUGUAAGUCACCCAAAUUAAAUCUUUUCUUUUAUAAGAGUUGCUGUGGUCGUGGUGUCUCUUCACAGCAACAGAAACCCUAACUAAGAUGGCUAGUCACUCCCAGGCAUGACUGGUAACAAAGAGGCCCAGCCAGGCAAUCACAGCUGUCUCUGAGACAGUGGCUUGUCCUGCAGAGCUGGCCUUGGACCUCUGCCCUUGCUCUCUCUGGCUUUGUUGUGCUACCAUUGGCUGUGCGUCCUGAGACUACAAACUCAUUUUUGCUAUGAAGACUAGCAAGCUCUGGGUUGCUGUGCCAAACUUUGAUAUGCCAAGAAGGUUUUGCCAGUGCCAUCAUUCAAUAUUUCUGUUUGUUUGAUGUUGGUUUUGGAAGGUCCGAGUCUCCAUAUUGUUGUCUUCAUCCAACACUGCCAGUUUACAGUGAGUAUGGCAAGUUGGCAAUGCAGCCAGCAUCUAAGUGUAGAUGGUGUUAGUUAGAGAGCAGGAUUCUGGGUACCCUUUCGGGGAACAAAAACCCAUGUUUGACUCCAGCCAGUCAUCCCUUCCUGAGGCCAUGGGAGCCUGAAACCAUCUCAAUAGUUAACUUGUACUGAGUGUGAUUAGUGCCAAGCAUUCAGGGGAAUGCUUUACAAAUGUGACCACACUAAAGCUUGGCAACAGCCUGCAAAGAAAGCCCCGUAUCUGUCAGCAUUCUUGGCUGGAAGCAGCAGAAGCUGACUCACUGUCACAAGAAGAGGAGGUUUAUUGGAAGGGUGUUGGGGGCGUCUAGAUUUGUCAGAUGGAUCGAGGACAGGGCUCUGAAAGGACUGAGCACUCGAGGAGCCCCGAGAGCUAGCUAGGCUGUAGCUUCUCCUCCGGACCUGGUCUGAGGCCUGUGCUCAGAAGAUCUGCUCCUCUGCUGCCCUGACUAACUGGUAGGAAUCAAUUAGACUUCUAGCUCUCUCCAUGCUGCCUUCAAGCAAGAUAGGCUGAGUAUGCAUCAGGACCUGCCCUGGGGCCUGGGGAGAGGUACCUGAGCCAUCACAUCUGCUGUUUCCCUGGAGGUGGGGGAUGCCUCUAUCCAUCCUGUAAAGGUGUCAACAAGAGUUAAGAGAAUCUCUUGGGUGCUGGCCCCUGCCUGGACAGCUCAUCACCAGGUGUAGCCUCUUCAGGGAGACUUCCCUAGCUAAACUGCUGUCUUCUGGAUCUAGCUCCCCUGAGUGCAAAUGGGAAUUGUCUCCUUGCCACAUCAACUGGCAAGAACAGCCCCUGGAAUAUAGUAAAUCCUCAAGGCAAACAGAAGUGGAGCGAUCCUCCAGCAGAGGGAUCAGCAUACACUGGAAUGUGAGGAACAGGGUGUGUGCCUGAUGGAUUCCCUUGGAGUACCAUGCCACUUGCUGCCAUCUUGGCUGAUGACCUAGGCUCACCUUGGAAUACCAUGUGACUUGUGGACAUCUUGGAAGUCAUGUGAUUCAGCCAACAUCUUUAUUAAGGUUAAAAAAAGGGCAUGCCAUGUGACUUCACCAUCGUGGUUAAGGUGACCAGUGGUAUAAACCAAUCAGAGCAGCACCCAUAAAACAACUACAUUCACUGAGCUCUCUGCUUAUCAUGACUUUUAUCAGACUAAGGAGGCAACACCAGCUUCCAAGAUAAGGCAGGAAAGCCCCAGGCUCAAGUAGUCCCCUUGGAUGGAGCACACGUUCCCUUGAAUGGAGCACACGUUCCCUUGGAUGGAGCACACGUUCCCUUGGAUGGAGGACACGUUCCCUUGGAUGGAACACACGUUCCCUUGGAUGGAGCGCCAUCCCACCAGGGAGUACAGGACAGCCAUUGCUUGACCAAUCACAGCGGAUCAAGUUUGAGACUCCCCUCCUGCUGCAUGACCAGAGGCCCCCCUCUUCGAUGGACUGAGAACUACGCUGGCUGACAUGGACCCUCCUCAGCAGAAAGUAGCUCUAACACCCCUGCCCCACAUUUGUCUCUUUCAGAUAGGAAUGGUAGUUUCCUGCCGAAGGACUACACUUCCCAGCUUCCCUUGCAGACUUCAGAGGUCAUUCCUGCCUCUAUAAGGGGCCUCAACCCAUCUUCCUCUGUAGGCAUUUUAGCCACCUGCACAUGGGAGUGGCAAAGAUGUGAAUAAACGUGGUCCCGCCUAAGGCCAGAAGAGGACACCAGAUUUCAUUACGGAUGGUUGUGAGCCACCAUGUGGUUGCUGGGAAUUGAACUCAGGACCUUUGGAAGAGCAAGCAGUGCUCUUAACCUCUGAGCCAUCUCUCCAGCCCCCCCAAACUUAUUUUUAAGGAACUAAUAUACCAGCAUGAGGGAGUCAUGUUUGUACUUGUUGGUUUAAAAAAUGGGAAAACUACUUGUCAGAAGAAGUGAUGAUGAUGAAGGCUUUUCUUCCAGACCCACAUUUUUGGAAUGCCAGGACAUUGUAUCUCAGCAACAGGAGAAGAAAGGACGACACUGGGUGAUCUGACUGGUUAGCUGUAUGACAUGGCAACAACACUGAUGGGACCUGGAGCCUCGUGUGUGAUAGGCAGGAUCCUAAGUCACGAGCAGAGAAGGCAAAGGGACAAAGAGCUGACUCUUUCUUCUGCCUGUUUGGGGGUAGUGAUUCUGAUAAUCAGUAGAGACCAGAAUAUCUCUUCUGAGAUGGUGAGUAGAGCCCCUUAGCCCUGGCUGGAGCCGAGACUUCCUCUGUUCGUCUCUCUCAACAGGUCCUGACUCUGGGAUCCUGUUUAGAGCAACUCAGAGAGAAGGCCAAACCCUUUUCUGUCACACCAUCUCUGGUCAGGGUGCUGGUCUGGCCUUCCCUACUGCCAAGGAGAAAUACCUAGGACACGGGAAGACACUAAGGCCCAGACUUCAGCUUACCCGAGGCUACUGCUCCAGACCACCAUCAACUGUGCAUCAGGCCCUGAGUGUCCAGGGGGUUCGCUCUGAGGAUAGGUGCUCAGAUGGAGGCUCCCCUGAUUUGCUGGCCACUUGAAGCCUUGUUUGGUUCAGUUUGGUUGGUUAGGUUUUUGAUAAAAUGAUAAUGGGCACCUCACAGGUUGGGGUGGGUUUUUUCAUAGGAAAUUAGUAAAAGUUUAUGCAAACGCAAGCUAUACUGGAAUGACCUAUAAUUGGCCUUUUGUGCCAUUUUUCAUACUGAAAACAAAAUAGGCAGAGACCAUGAUACCCCAUUUCAGAAGGGAGCUUAAGUAUAUAAUUUUGAGUCCUAUGAAAUUGUCAAUAUUUGAUCAUUUCUCUACCUAUAAAAACAGCAGUUUCAUGCAAGUCAGCCCGGUGAAGCUCUGUCUGCUGAUCAUCCCUUUAGACUUAGAGCCUGUCCUAACUGUGAAUUGUUCUGUUGUCCUUCUCUGUCUAGUUCCACAGAACAGCAAGAAGACACACAACUGGAGCUUUCUUUCCCUCGUAUUAUUUUCUUCUCUGCACACCUGCAAUGUACUCAAUAUCCAACUCUGCACGGCGCUGUAGGGGCGAGUUCUGCUAACCAGAAAUCCCCUAUAGAAGAUCACAGAUUUGUUCAUUUUUGCGUUCAGCUUGUCAAUUGAUUUGAUAAUUGCCUGGGAGACAUACACAGGCAUACAGACACACAAAACAAUGUCGGUCCACAGGCUUUUUCCCUCGACAGUGGGAUGAAGAUGUUUUACUUACUGGAACUCAGAUGUCACCUGGAAGAAUAAGAGGAGGGUUUCGCCACGCUCAUCAGGACUGGACACUAUAUUCCUUCUGCCCCUCUGUUUGAGAGUUGGCCACAUGAACUGAACAAGCACUACGUGGGUUCUGCACACCAGAGAGUGGAUGGCCUUGUGUUGGCCUUCACUGGCCUUGUGUGGAAGUCAGCCCUGCUCGCACCUCUCAUGGCUGAAUCAGAACGAGAAACGGAAUGUCCGAGUAAAAAACAAAACAGAGUUAAAAUUCUGAAAUUAGAGGAAGCCAUUUCUGUGGUGAAAUCUCCAAGAAAGGAUCUGAUUUUGGACUAGACUAUCUUAGAAAUGGAGAGUCAGGGAUCAAGAUGUAGGACUCUCAGCCCCUUCUCCAGCACCAUGUCUGCCUGCACACUGCUAUGUCCUGCCAUGAUGAUAGUGGACUAAACCUCUGAAACUGUCCUCCUUGUGCCUAUGGACUGCCGGCCUUAGUCUGUGAAUGAUGCUGUCACCUCUGGCAACCAUUUUCGGUAUUGCUUGGAAAAGCUGGAGAUCCAUUGUCAAAGGCCGGCUUCCUGCAGGGUACCCUCACCUGGCAUCAUGAAGCAGCUGCUUCCUCGGAAGGUGACCACCGCAGUUCAUCCUUGUGUCUGUCCAGCGCAGUGCGCUCGCUGCAGCCACCUGCUCUGCCAUGGGAGCUGAUUGAGUUUUUGGACAUGCUGUUGAGUUCCAGUCCUUGACAACCCUGUCACAUCAGUAAUUUGAAAAGCAAAGGUAUCAGGGAACCCUGAACUCUCAGAGCUGAAAAGACAUUUAAAGAACCACCCCCAUCCUUGUCCAAAUCAAAGCCCAAGAGGACACGAGCCCAAGGUCAUGUACUUUUGAUGACACUGGUGACAAACUGCUCAUAGAGGGACGUCCCAUUGCAGCCAUUACAUCAAGUUGAAUCCAAAGCAACCUAAGAAAGCAUUCCUGUAUCCUGAAGAUGUUUCCAUAUCAAAUGCAUUGGAAGGCGAGAAAGACAGUGAUAUGGAAGUCUGUGUUCUCUCUCAGGCCUGUGUGCCUUUUAUCAACCUUACAAACUGGGUGCAAAUACUGACCCUCCCACCCUGAGCACCGUCUUGUUGAUUUGUGCUUUGCAGUAAGUCUAAAAUGUCAACAACGACCUUCAUCUCUUUGGUACAGGAGUCCGGGUGGGGAUGGCAUGGGAAGAAAUGCUCUCUUCUCUCCUCAGGCGCUGAGAAGGAGGAAGCUCCCGAGACUUGGUGAAAACAUGGACCGUUCUUUGCUCACACAGGGUCUCUCCUUUGACUUUGGAGUCUGGACCGUCAUGGUUCCACUUUGGCUUCUGGAUCAAGAAAAUGGUCAAUAUGCUGCCACGGUAAAGCUUCAGGUGCUGGGGACUUGGUGUAACCCCAGGCAGGAUGCUGACAUGUGCUGCCCCAUUAACAGCUCCGACAGAGUCGGGAUCUGCUCAGUCACUUCAGACAGUCACUGUCUAAUGUCUCAUUCUGUUCUUAAACAACCAUGUGAAUGGGGAAACUGUUACUGUCCACGGCUGACAGAUGAGGAACUGAGGCCCCAAGAAGCUAAGUGUUUUAUUCAGUGCCUCGCAACCGGACAGGCCAAAGCUGUGUGCGUUGUUCCCAGGGACAUCUCACUGCUAUAUUACUUCAAGUCAGGUAUUGAGGCAAAAUGCACCCACAUUCUGACAGGGCAUCCCAUUUCCUAACAAGUUAGAGCUAUGCUGCUCAAUAUAGUACUCGCCAGCCACAUGAGGCUACUUAAACAUAAAAUCAUUAAACUUACUGAAAUUAAAGAUCUAGAUCUUAGCCACACUGUAUACAUUCCAUACGCUCCAAAGCCCCACAGUACUAAAUCCCAAAGUAUAUUUUGAGCACUGAAGGUACAAAACACUAGAACUUUCCAUGGAAAUUGUACGAGAAAGCACUGUAGCAGAUGAAGAACUAGAGAGUCAAAGAGACUUAAAAAACACACAGCGAGACCCAGGGUUUGAAACGCACACUGCUUAGAUGUCACAUCUAAGUCCCUCCCUGGCUUCCUGUUCCUGCUUCCAGGACAACUAUUUAUUGUUUGCAACUAGACCCCACAUCUGCCCAUGGCAGGCAGCUUAUCUUUGGUUUCAUUUAUGCUCUGUGCUCUGAGGGUUGGCACGUGAGACGUGGCUAUCAGGACCUGCACACUCACUCGGCCUUGUAAGAGUCUUAAACAGAGACGCUGCGAAGAGUGUAGUCCUUGAACUGCAGGUAACAGCUGUAGACGCUUGGGCAGCUUGUGCAAACUUGGACCUGAGUGGGAUCACUUGUAAAGGGAUGUUUGACCUCAGAGGGUCUGGACGCACCUGCUCGAAGGUCCUAGCCAAACACUCCACAGCCACAACAAUGGUCACUACCUUACUCUAAAUGACUUACGUGUCACUGCACUGGAGUGAUGUUCCUCAAGGGUGUGCUUCAUGUCCACCUCCUGGUCGUUGCUGUAUCCUUCAGGCUAGCUCCCAUUGAUAGUGAGUUCUGGAAGAAAACAGUGUCCGGUUUAGUCUCAGAGAAAGUUUUUCUAUAAGCUUUAUGGUUUAUGAAUCUGUCCCCCUUCUUUGAGUGAUUUUUUUUAAAUGUGGGAUCUCACUAUGUAUGUGUUGGUUAAACGGCGCACAUGCCGGCGGAGGAGAGUGCUGGUCGGAAGAAUCCCAGCCAUGGUUACCUUUUUAGAGCUUUAUUGGGAGAGAGGGGGGAGAGAGGGGAGAGAGAGAGGGAGAGAGAGGACAGACGGAAGGAAGGAGCAGAAAGGAAAGAGAGGGAUGCACAGAGGGCCCACCCGCUUUUUAGGCUGGGCUGAUGACAUAAUUAAGGACCGAAUCCUUACAGUAUGUAGUCCUGAUUGACGUGGAACUCACUGUGUAGAUCAGGGUGAUCUUGAACUCACAGAGGUCUACCUGCUUCUGCUGCCCGAGUACCAGUAUUAAAAGUGUGUACCACAUGAAUGCCUAGGGGGAAAAUCCAUUAUAAGACCUUUGUGGAUACCUGACACUGUGAGGGAAUGCAGCUCCAAAUAGUCUGCAUAUUCCCAUGAAGAAGUUUGAUCUAUAGGUUAAACAUGGUGAAGAGUAACUAAUAAGACAGGACAGCUGUAACAAUGCAUGAUAAUCCAAGCUAUGUGAAUGUGCUCUCCACCCACCCCACCCCCUUACUGUACUGCAGACAUCCUUCUUCUGCCCAAUAGGACGCCCACAUGAUGAAGUGACACAGACUUAUGCUCCAUGUAAGGGCCACUUGAACACAAGUGCUGCGAUGUCCUCAUAGUGGACUCAAUGAGCCAGCUGACCGUGUGACUAGCCAGCAGGUAGUAGAUACAGCAAGGAUGGCUGGUCGGAGGAUGAUUCGUGACCAGCAGGCAGGAGCAAGAUUUCCUCAUACUACUCACAAAGGCAUGCAACUUAAAACGUGUGAGAUUUUUCUUUCUAGAAUUUUCCAUCUGAAAUUUGAUCAUGGGUAGCUGGAACCAUGGUAGCAAAAGUGACACACAGAGGAGCGUAGUCUAGUUCAGUUUCCCAUCAGAAGCACACGUCUCUAGGAGCAAGUGUCUCUGUCGUGCCGGUCUGGAUGCUGCUUGUACAUCCAGCAAAGGGGAAUUUGCUACCUAAGGACAGUGCUUUGCAGCUUGGACCUCCUUGCCACAGACAGAAAGGGUCCUGAGCUUCAGGCCAUCCUUCCAUGCCACUCAGCAUCUGAAUCUCUCGGCCUUUGCAGAAACAGGGCAGUGCAAAGUGUGUCUCCAGCUAGCUUUGGGAAGUUUCAUGACUAUCACUGGGGGUAGGGAGAGGUGGAAAAUGAGCCGAGAGAAUCUGGCUAUUAAACACAUUACCUGUAUUUAUGGUUCUCGUGCCCCAAGGCCUGGGAUAAAUCGGAGAAGGAAAAACAUUCCGCUCCGGCUCUCAGUGACCCCUGAAGGAAACCCCCCAUGGAGUCAUUUAGGAUAGUAAUUUGAGCAUAGACUCCAGCAUGCGUUCCCAGCCUUCCCUCCAUAAACUCAGGAGCCUCAUGAUAAUCGGCACCAAAGUGCUUGAAAAUGUGGCCCAGAACCCUUCCAGAUGAGGGUCGGGCUCAAAGAAAUAAAAAGUUAAGGGCGCGUUGCUAUGGCAUUAACAUUGAGGGAGUGUGCAAGGACUUCAAACUGUGCGCUGAAAGUAUGUUCUUUCUGUGUGCCCGGCCCAUGAAACGCUAAGCCAGCAAAACCAUUAAAACGUCAGACGGGGAGCCAGGUGGAAGAAAUGCAUGUUUAAUAGUAAACAUGUAGCCCACGGUAAUUGUGUCCGUUGAGAAGUUAAAGAUGGGGGAGACAGAGGAGUUGAGAAGAAAGCAAGCUGGGGAAGUGGGGCCGUUGGGCUCCUUCUGCCCUGCGCUGAGCAGGCGGCCCUCCUUACUCAGCAAAGCUCUCAAAACCAUCCCCGGUUCCUUCCCUUUCAUUAGCGCUCUGCCGCAAGUUAACCGGCAGGCCUCGAGUCCCAACUUACUUCUAGAAUAUUAGGUUGAGUUCUACAAAGUGGCCGACAUUACAUCUUCUUUGGUCUAUGGAAAGUGUCAACUCUAUGGCUCAACCUAAUUAAAUCUCAAACAAGCUUGUCUGC